AGAGUUUGAUCCUGGCUCAGAACGAACGCUGGCGGCGUGCCUAACACAUGCAAGUCGGACGGAGUCAGUCAGCAGCACUAAGCGGUUAGCGGUUAGCGAUAAGCGGGAAGAAGUUUCAGGGCUUAUAGCUUAAAGCUGAAAGCUUAGCGCUGUUGAUUGACUUAGUGGCGGACGGGUGAGUAACACGUAGGUAACCUACCCUUAAGCGGGGGACAACUCAGGGAAACUUGAGCUAAUACCGCAUAAGACCACGGGCUGAGAUGCCAGAGGGAAAAGGAGCAAUCCACUUAAGGAUGGGCCUGCGGCCUAUCAGGUAGUUGGUGAGGUAACGGCCCACCAAGCCAGAGACGGGUAGCCGGGCUGAGAGGUUGAACGGCCACACUGGAACUGAGAUACGGUCCAGACUCCUACGGGAGGCAGCAGUGGGGAAUAUUGCGCAAUGGGGGAAACCCUGACGCAGCGACGCCGCGUGGAGGAUGAAGGCCUUCGGGUUGUAAACUCCUUUUGUAGGGGAAGAUAAUGACGGUACCCUGCGAAUAAGCCACGGCUAACUCUGUGCCAGCAGCCGCGGUAAGACAGAGGUGGCGAGCGUUGUUCGGAAUUACUGGGCUUAAAGGGCGAGUAGGCGGUGGAGCAAGUCUGAGGUGGAAUCCUACGGCUUAACCGUAGAACUGCCUUGGAAACUGUUUUACUUGAGUCAGUGAGGGGAGGGCGGAAUUCCUGGUGUAGCGGUGAAAUGCGUAGAUAUCAGAGGAAGGCCUGUGGCGAAAGUGGCCCUCUGGCACUGUACUGACGCUGAGGCGCGAAAGCGUGGGGAGCAAACAGGAUUAGAUACCCUGGUAGUCCACGCCCUAAACGGUGGGCA
rnacentral:rRNA from 1 species